rnacentral:tmRNA from 1 species
GGGGUCGUAUUGGAUUUGACAGCGGUAGCAAUUGUCCAGUGCAAGCAUGUCGAGCAAUGUGGUGAGGCUCGUUAAUAAUUAGUCACAAAUUAUAAUUGACAACACGUCAUACAGACUUGCUGCCUAAUUUAACUCAGUUAAAUUAAGCUUUAUCUCGUGGAAUAAUAGUACACAGACAAGUUCCUUCUCCAUUGUUUCCGUCUGAUAAACAAGGAUCAAGAAGGACCAUUUUUUUCAGAAUAGUGCUAGUGACACUUCUAAGCUAGCAUGAAACUCAGAAGAUAAGUGCAAUUAUUGGGUGUCUUUAUCCGGGAUUGUAUCGAAAAUUAAUUAAAGAAUAAACAUGUAGAAAGCUGAAUUAUUCGUCGUUUGGACGAGGGUUCGAAACCCUCCGACUCCACUG